rnacentral:rRNA from 1 species
GAGUUUGAUCCUGGCUCAGGACGAACGCUGGCGGCGCGCUUAACACAUGCAAGUCGAGCGAGAACUAGCCCUUCGGGGCUGGGGACAGCGGCGAACGGGUGAGUAACACGUGGGUAAUCUGCCCUCGGUUCUGGGAUAGCCUGGGGAAACUCGGAUUAAUACCGGAUAGCCUCUCGAGCUCUCGGGCUCGCGAGAAAAGGUAGCUUCGGCCUCCGACCGAGGAGGAGCCUGCGGCGGAUUAGCUUGUUGGUGGGGUAAUGGCCUACCAAGGCAACGAUCCGUAGCUGGUCUGAGAGGACGAUCAGCCACACUGGGACUGAGACACGGCCCAGACUCCUACGGGAGGCGGCAGUGGGGAAUCUUGCGCAAUGGGCGAAAGCCUGACGCAGCGACGCCGCGUGGGGGAAGAAGGCCUUCGGGUUGUAAACCUCUUUCAGGAGGGACGAAGCCACUCGGGUUAAUAGCCCAGAGGGUGACGGUACCUCCAGAAGAAGCCCCGGCUAACUACGUGCCAGCAGCCGCGGUAAUACGUAGGGGGCAAGCGUUGUCCGGAUUUAUUGGGCGUAAAGCGCGUGUAGGCGGUCCGGUAAGUCCGCUGUGAAAGUCGGGGGCUCAACCCUCGAAUGCCGGUGGAAACUGUCUGGCUAGAGUCCGGAAGGGG